CACUUCCAUAAAACAAAAACCACAAUCAACGUAUACAUUAAAAAUCGGGCGUGAUCACUUUCACUAGUUUUAGCAUUUGAACUAGAAUUUUUCUUAUCCUGACACUAUAAGAAAUUUCCGGUGAAGUACUAAUCUGGCUGUCAUGAAAAUGGAACGCGACGGUAGGCAGAGUGGGUCUUGUAGAGGCAAUGGUUCCGCGAAGCGUAGCCCGGAGCCUACAUGGCAGAAGUCUUGGACGAGGUCCUGCGGUUGUGACAACAGGCAAAAUGCAAUGAACUGCGUAGUGACCUGAAGAGUGGACGGGUUGUGCAUUACUGCAUAGUGCUGCUGCACUUAAUGGUUGUGCGGAUGGUGUGAAUUGUUAACUGUGGGAAAUGGCCGGUACGGAAGUGAUAAAUGCCGACCGGAUAAACCACGGCUCCAUGUUUGAGGGGGGAGCGGCACAGCACUGGAUCUAACUGCUGCCGUGUGCCAUUCCAUUCGUGCCACGAAAGUUGGUGCAGUAUGUCUGUCCGUUGGGCACCACGAAGUUUUCUUCGAUAGAAAGCGCGCUCAGUAUGGGAUCAGACAACCACUGUCUCCGGAGCGCGUCAGCAUUGGAAGUGCGUUGUCGAUUGUGGCGGUUACGUUGGGCAAGGCUGGCGAAAACCUUGUCGGAUGUACUGCAGCUACAGCAGACUCAAAAAACGCCGAUGAGAAGAUAGCGCGGCAUUAUCCUUUUAAGUGGGGAGAAUAUCGAUUGUGAUGACGGUUUUCAGCAGAAAAUUGGUUUUUUUCACUGGAAAAAUGAUGAAGAAAUCUCCGGCAACAAAUUUCGGGUUGUUUUUAUUAAUUUCUGCGAGUAUUUGGAAAUUGUGUGCACCAUGCCCAACAAAAUCUGAGGAUAGGUACUCUCGAGCGGAGGCCGCAGUGGAUCGCAUAACGACGAUACUGGAAGAAUGCUGGAACUAUACCGCCUAUCGCCAGAUCGAGCAGGCGCACAUAAGGUACUCGAGGAAAAAUCCUGUAUGGCUGCCGGCGCUCUCUUCGCCCACACCCGAUCCUAAAGGUAACGUGCGGCGGCCGUAUUUGGACGAAACGAUCAGCCUGGUAUGUGCGCCUGGCCCGACUCAGCCGAAUAUUGUGUGGAAACAUAACGGUCACGUGAUGGCCGCCCAGCAGACCGUGGGCGACCUUCGCUAUACCCGCACCAGCGACAACACCCUUAUCCUGUACAAUAUCACCUACGCGGCGUGGGGCAAGUUCGAAUGUCUGCAGCGGUGUCAGCAGAAUGGGAUGGAAGCGUUGUGCUUGCAAGCGGAGCACUGGGUGUUUCCCAAACCGUUGCCUGAAGGCCACGAGGUGUUCGCGCAGCGAAUGCCACCGGUGAUUGUGCCGCGAUAUAUGCCGUUUUCGUCCACCUGCCAACUGGCGUUCCCUUGUAGCCAGGAUCCGCAGCAGCACUUCAUCUGGCGCUAUCACGGAAUAUAUCUUUCCUGGCCGCCGGGUCACUACCUACAGCAGACGUCCUGCAUCGAAACCGACCGACAGACGCUGAUGGUCCACACCAACACCUCCGAAAUAACAGGGGCCGAUGGCCGCCUACACUGUGCUUCGACGCUGACCCUGCAUGUUCCCUGGCCGAAUCACACGGGCGCCAAGCUAGCGUGUUGGGCGCGCUCUGACACCACCCAGCAACAGUGGUUCAUCCUUACCACUCCCGUGCAGUUCAACGGAAGCCUGCCAUUUCCAGAAUAACUGACGGUGGCUUGUUUCGUAUAGUGCAGCGACCAUCCACGGGAAAGAUAUGGAAGAAUUUGUAAACAUCACACGCUCCGCUUUGCGAGAAGAUAUGGCAGCCGCAUUGAAGCCGUGGACGGAACAAAUAAACGACCAUGCAGAUCGAAAUAAGGACCAAAUCAUGUCCGGGUCUUCGGUGAAUUCCUGGAUAUCAUGGGCGAUAUCCAGUGCCGCACUGGUCGUCACUUCAAGUGCGGCUACUUGGCAGAUUACGCGAUGCUAUUAUGACAGAUCGGUGUGCCUGUGCUGCAGACGGGAAGCAUCCAGUUUGGCUUGAACUGGUGGCAUCCGGCGCCAAAACCUGGAAUUCUGUAAAAUUUAUGUAAAUAUCCUGGAAAAUUGUUUUUGUAUAAAUUAUUUAUGUGUUACAUACAAGAUAUGCCUCUGACAUUCGCGCUUGGUGCAAUUUGAAUGUAAUUAAUAAUUUGGAAUUUUAUUUAAUGUUAUUAUUGGAUGAAUAAAGGUCAAAGUUUUCACUUCAGAAGCUUGUGAUCAUGUAAAUCCUGGUGCUUCAUAAUUAUGUCGUGAAUGCACGUUUAAUUAAUAUAAGUCCCGUGUACGUGAGUUACUGUAUGACUGCGCUUUUAUCACCACUGACCUGAGCUGCAACUUUUCGGCCUGACGAAAUCCACUAAUCGAAUAAGAUCAGCUCUUCCAUUUGCAAGCGGUGAUCGCUAACUUCUCCAUCAUGCCCGUGACCCGUGACCGGGACUACCAUGACGUCCAGACACCAACUAGUACUCCGCCAACGCCUCCAUUAUAAGGAAGCCUGCCAGAUGCGUAGAAGGGCAGCCUGGUCGAUACGUUGCGCAAGGCACGACCAGCAGCAUUCGUGGGCGGGCCAAGGCCCUAGGGUUUUCGAAAUGAUGGCCGAGACGAUGCCGCGGUCCCGCCAGUCAACAAUAAAAACGGCGCUGUUAAGACGUGGAUCGGGUCAGGGCCGAGGCAAAAAAUGUUUGGCUGCGCGAAUCUUCGAUUUAAAGGGUGACUCGAGAUGACAUUUAUCUAUACACAUAUGCAAGCGAUAUAUUUACGCACAUGCAUCAAGUAAAUCGCUCGUAUUAUAUAAAGCUGGUUGACCUUAAAGAAUAUUUUCUGAGUUUCUCUCAAAGCCUGUUAACAAUAAUUUUUAGCCACUGGUCGCGCGUUUAUGAUAAAAGGGAUACUGGUUGGAAUAUUUUCUCUCCUUCACGUUAAAAUAAAGUGCUUGCAGUUUACGCAACGUCGACCAACUGACCAUCAAAACCCGUGCGGCAACGAAGUGUGAAGAGACAACGCUAUCCUGGAGUUGGUUAAUUCGUUUUUGAUGAAUCGCCUUUUUGGUGUACUUCGACGCUUCGAGAUAUCACACGUUCCGGCUCCCCUUGCAAAUCGGUUACACGUCGCGGCUCUCACACCGCUAGCACAUACACAGUUACACACCAGUUAACAGCACACACACACAUAAUUAUGUGUCACGGUGUGUAUGCGUGUGUGUGUGUAUUAAGUGAAGCUGUUUGUACGUUGGCUGGUAAA